rnacentral:rRNA from 1 species
AAAUUGAAGAGUUUGAUCAUGGCUCAGAUUGAACGCUGGCGGCAGGCCUAACACAUGCAAGUCGAGCGGUAGCACAGAGAGCUUGCUCUCGGGUGACGAGCGGCGGACGGGUGAGUAAUGUCUGGGAAACUGCCUGAUGGAGGGGGAUAACUACUGGAAACGGUAGCUAAUACCGCAUAACGUCGCAAGACCAAAGUGGGGGACCUUCGGGCCUCAUGCCAUCAGAUGUGCCCAGAUGGGAUUAGCUAGUAGGUGGGGUAAUGGCUCACCUAGGCGACGAUCCCUAGCUGGUCUGAGAGGAUGACCAGCCACACUGGAACUGAGACACGGUCCAGACUCCUACGGGAGGCAGCAGUGGGGAAUAUUGCACAAUGGGCGCAAGCCUGAUGCAGCCAUGCCGCGUGUGUGAAGAAGGCCUUCGGGUUGUAAAGCACUUUCAGCGGGGAGGAAGGCGUUAAGGUUAAUAACCUUGGCGAUUGACGUUACCCGCAGAAGAAGCACCGGCUAACUCCGUGCCAGCAGCCGCGGUAAUACGGAGGGUGCAAGCGUUAAUCGGAAUUACUGGGCGUAAAGCGCACGCAGGCGGUCUGUCAAGUCGGAUGUGAAAUCCCCGGGCUCAACCUGGGAACUGCAUUCGAAACUGGCAGGCUAGAGUCUUGUAGAGGGGGGUAGAAUUCCAGGUGUAGCGGUGAAAUGCGUAGAGAUCUGGAGGAAUACCGGUGGCGAAGGCGGCCCCCUGGACAAAGACUGACGCUCAGGUGCGAAAGCGUGGGGAGCAAACAGGAUUAGAUACCCUGGUAGUCCACGCCGUAAACGAUGUCGAUUUGGAGGUUGUGCCCUUGAGGCGUGGCUUCCGGAGCUAACGCGUUAAAUCGACCGCCUGGGGAGUACGGCCGCAAGGUUAAAACUCAAAUGAAUUGACGGGGGCCCGCACAAGCGGUGGAGCAUGUGGUUUAAUUCGAUGCAACGCGAAGAACCUUACCUGGUCUUGACAUCCACAGAACUUUCCAGAGAUGGAUUGGUGCCUUCGGGAACUGUGAGACAGGUGCUGCAUGGCUGUCGUCAGCUCGUGUUGUGAAAUGUUGGGUUAAGUCCCGCAACGAGCGCAACCCUUAUCCUUUGUUGCCAGCGGUUAGGCCGGGAACUCAAAGGAGACUGCCAGUGAUAAACUGGAGGAAGGUGGGGAUGACGUCAAGUCAUCAUGGCCCUUACGACCAGGGCUACACACGUGCUACAAUGGCAUAUACAAAGAGAAGCGACCUCGCGAGAGCAAGCGGACCUCAUAAAGUAUGUCGUAGUCCGGAUUGGAGUCUGCAACUCGACUCCAUGAAGUCGGAAUCGCUAGUAAUCGUAGAUCAGAAUGCUACGGUGAAUACGUUCCCGGGCCUUGUACACACCGCCCGUCACACCAUGGGAGUGGGUUGCAAAAGAAGUAGGUAGCUUAACCUUCGGGAGGGCGCUUACCACUUUGUGAUUCAUGACUGGGGUGAAGUCGUAACAAGGUAACCGUAGGGGAACCUGCGG